rnacentral:rRNA from 1 species
AACGAACGCUGGCGGCAGGCCUAACACAUGCAAGUCGAGCGAGCAUUUCGGUGCUAGCGGCGGACGGGUGAGUAACGCGUGGGAACGUGCCCUUUUCUGCGGAAUAGUCCUGGGAAACUGGGGGUAAUACCGCAUACGCCCUUUUGGGGAAAGAUUUAUCGGAGAAGGAUCGGCCCGCGUUGGAUUAGGUAGUUGGCGGGGUAAUGGCCCACCAAGCCGACGAUCCAUAGCUGGUUUGAGAGGAUGAUCAGCCACACUGGGACUGAGACACGGCCCAGACUCCUACGGGAGGCAGCAGUGGGGAAUCUUAGACAAUGGGGGCAACCCUGAUCUAGCCAUGCCGCGUGAGUGAUGAAGGCCUUAGGGUUGUAAAGCUCUUUCAGCUGGGAAGAUAAUGACGUUACCAGCAGAAGAAGCCCCGGCUAACUCCGUG